AUUGAACGCUGGCGGCAUGCCUUACACAUGCAAGUCGAACGGCAGCACGGGUGCUUGCACCUGGUGGCGAGUGGCGAACGGGUGAGUAAUACAUCGGAACAUGUCCUGUAGUGGGGGAUAGCCCGGCGAAAGCCGGAUUAAUACCGCAUACGAUCUACGGAUGACAGCGGGGGACCUUCGGGCCUCGCGCUAUCGGGUUGGCCGAUGGCUGAUUAGCUAGUUGGUGGGGUAAAGGCCUACCAAGGCGACGAUCAGUAGCUGGUCUGAGAGGACGACCAGCCACACUGGGACUGAGACACGGCCCAGACUCCUACGGGAGGCAGCAGUGGGGAAUUUUGGACAAUGGGCGAAAGCCUGAUCCAGCAAUGCCGCGUGUGUGAAGAAGGCCUUCGGGUUGUAAAGCACUUUUGUCCGGAAAGAAAUCCUUGGCUCUAAUACAGUCGGGGGAUGACGGUACCGGAAGAAUAAGCACCGGCUAACUACGUG
rnacentral:rRNA from 1 species